GGGCCUUUAGCUCAACUGGGAGAGCGCCAGAUUUGCAUUCUGGAGGUUAGGAGUUCGAGCCUCCUAAGGUCCACAA
rnacentral:tRNA from 3 species